UACAGAUUUUUGGCUACAGGUCGGACAU
rnacentral:piRNA from 1 species